AAGAAUUUAAGUUAAAUAAACUAAUGGCCUUCAAAGCUAAAAAUAUUUGUAUUAAUCCUUUAAUUCUUA
rnacentral:tRNA from 1 species